rfam:Lupinus angustifolius cultivar Tanjil contig_1834, whole genome shotgun sequence.
GGGUGCGAUCAUACCAGCACUAAUGCACCAGAUCCCUUCAGAACACCGUAGAUAAGCAUGCUUGGGCGAGAGUAGUACUAGGAUGAGUGACCUCUUAGGAAGUCCUCGUGUGGCACUUC